rnacentral:rRNA from 1 species
UACGUAGGGUGCAAGCGUUAAUCGGAAUUACUGGGCGUAAAGCGUGCGCAGGCGGUUUUGUAAGACUGUCGUGAAAUCCCCGGGCUUAACCUGGGAAUGGCGAUGGUGACUGCAAGGCUAGAGUUUGGCAGAGGGGGGUAGAAUUCCACGUGUAGCAGUGAAAUGCGUAGAUAUCGGAAGGAACACCAGUGGCGAAAGCGGCUUCCUGGUCCGACACCGACGUUCAGGCACGAAAGCGUGGGGAGCAAACAGG